AGCAGCCGCGGUAAUUCCAGCUCCAAUAGCGUAUAUUAAAGUUGUUGCAGUUAAAAAGCUCGUAGUUGAAUUUCGGGAUCAAUUUAUUGGUCGUGCCAACGGUACGCACUGGUACAAUUGGUUUCUCCCUUCUGACGAAGCAUGAUGUCAUUAACUUGAUGUCGUGGGGAAUCAGGACUGUUACUUUGAAAAAAUUAGAGUGUUUAAAGCAGGCUUUGGCUUGAAUAUAUUAGCAUGGAAUAAUGAAAUAGGACGUUUGAUCUUAUUUCGUUGGUUUCUAAGAUCGACGUAAUGAUUAAUAGGGAUAGUUGGGGGCAUUAGUAUUCAAUUGUCAGAGGUGAAAUUCUUGGAUUUAUUGAAGACUAACUACUGCGAAAGCAUUUGCCAAGGAUGUUUUCAUUAAUCAAGAACGAAAGUUAGGGGAUCGAAGACGAUCAGAUACCGUCGUAGUCUUAACCAUAAACUAUGCCGACUAGGGAUCGGAUGAUGUUAAUUUUUUAAUGACUCAUUCGGCGCCUUACG
rnacentral:rRNA from 1 species